GGCGGGGGCGUCAGGACGGCGGCGCUGGGAGGCUCCUCCCGGGCCCUCCUCAUCGCAGUCAACACCAUCUCCUGGCUGGGUGCUGGCAGGAGAGGGUUCCCAGGGCGCUGGGAUUACAGAGGCCGGACACCAUGCUCCCUACCUCUGGGGCUCAGAGGGAUUAAGCAGGCUCAGACCCUACUCUGCUCCCCUCCUGACCCGGCCCCCACCCGCCGGGAAAGCGGAAGCUGGCAGCGCGGCCCGGGACAAUGGCAGCUUUGUCACCGCGGCUACUGGCGGUGCCAGGGCCGGGGCAGCCCAGGACUUGGGCGCUGGGGCCCUCCUCGGCCUCAGUGCCCCCGGCCCAACGCGGGUCCUUCUCUGCAUUCCAGGCAGCUCCACCAAAGUCUGCGUGCAACGCCCUUCAUUUGCAUGGACACACGCAACCCUCGGCGCCUGUAUGGUCAUUAACAUGCUCCUCCCACCACGGAAGAACUUUCGAGGCCCGUACCAAAGUAGAUCCUUUAUUCAAAAUCUGUGGGGGUCUUUUUGACUGUUUUUGUUGACCUGUGACCUCUCACUGAGGACGGCAGUCCAGGACCACCCCCAGAGGGGUUCAAAGACCUCCGAAACCAGAGACCACCCCCACAUAAAGGUCCAUGGAGAGGGCCUGGACCAUCUGGACCCCCACGGUCAGGCCAAGUCCCAGAUAAUAGCACCAGAUGUUUCCUGUCCGACUUUUGGUCUCCCCAAGACGACCAGAGGCCGAGCUGCCCCUACACAGGCGCAAGGCCGAGGCAGGGCGCAGCACAGCAUCUCAGGUGUCCAUCUCGCCGGCGGCGGGCCCAGCGGACCCUCGGGGCCCA
rnacentral:sRNA from 1 species